CACAGGGGAAGGAUCUUUUUCUGGAGAUUCCUCCUCUGAAGUAUUUCCUGUGAACCUAGAUCUGCAGCUAUAGCUGGACAACCACAGAAGUGAUUGGCACUUAGCUGUAUCUGUCAAGAGCCACUCUGAAAGCUGACAGCUAUGCGCUAACAGAUGUCGCACAACUGCUAACAACAGAUGGACAAGGAGAUGAGGAAGGAAGAAGAUAUAGUACACUGUUAAAAUUACUCACACAAAAAGUUACUCCUUCUGAUGCCCCCUAAGGGCAGGUGUAGCAGAAAUGCAAGUCACAGCCUGAAACAGUGAUGAUUGAGCACCUGGUGGGAAGGCAGGGCCAGCCCAGCCCUUCCCAAACCUCAUUUAAGGGCUGGCAGUGGAGGUUGAGAGUAUCUUUCUGCAGAUCCCUGCCUACCAGAGGCCUUUCAAAGGUAAAGUGUUUUUCUUCCUUUGUUUCUGUGUCCCAGCUGCUGCACCUGGGGUUAUUCUCAUUUGUUGCAGCCUGGGAUUGUGCCACCUUGCAACUAUUGCUAUACUUUCCAUCACAUUAUAGCAUUACAACAGGUUUAUCAAAAUUACUUAUGUGAAUUGUAUUGCAGUUGGUUUUGCAACUUUCAGAGGAAAUGCACAAG